rnacentral:rRNA from 1 species
UACGUAGGGUGCGAGCGUUAAUCGGAAUACUGGGCGUAAAGCGUGCGCAGGCGGUGAUGUAAGACAGGUGUGAAAUCCCCGGGCUUAACCUGGGAACUGCAUUUGUGACUGCAUCGCUGGAGUGCGGCAGAGGGGGAUGGAAUUCCGCGUGUAGCAGUGAAAUGCGUAGAUAUGCGGAGGAACACCGAUGGCGAAGGCAAUCCCCGUGGGCCUGCACUGACGCUCAUGCACGAAGCGUGGGGAGCAAACAGGAU